rnacentral:pre_miRNA from 1 species
CUCAGGGGGUGGGGUCCCUCAGCCUGGAUUGCGAGAAGGUGCAGGCCAGGCCGAAGGACCCCCACCAGUGCAGG